rnacentral:lncRNA from 1 species
UGAGGCUCUUAUAUUGCUCCUGCAGCGACUCAGAGGGUUAUCUUUAUUUUUUCAGGGCUCUCUUCUUCGGGAUUUGUCAAGAUAAAUUUCGAUGGUAGCAUCAAAGUGACAAGGAUGUUGCUAGUUUUGUCAUCCGAGGAUCGGAUGUUAGAUUACUGGCGGUCGGAGCUCACAUCUAUUUGAGCCUUUUGCUCUGGAAGCUGAGUUUUGUGUUGUUUGAGUUGGUAUCAUCUGUAUCCUACAGGAGCUACGAACAGAGAAGAUCAUUAUU